rnacentral:rRNA from 1 species
UACAGAGGGUGCGAGCGUUAAUCGGAAUUACUGGGCGUAAAGCGCACGUAGGCGGCUUGGUAUGUCGGGUGUGAAAUCCCCGGGCUCAACCUGGGAACUGCAUCCGAAACUGCCUUGCUCGAGUAUGGGAGAGGGAAGUGGAAUUUCCGGUGUAGCGGUGAAAUGCGUAGAUAUCGGAAGGAACAUCAGUGGCGAAGGCGGCUCACUGGUCCGGUACUGACGCUGAGGUGCGAAAGCGUGGGGAGCAAACAGG